GUCACACUCAGUGUAUUUUGCCGUCAAAAACGAUGCAAUUAUUGUAGAGCGAUUACAUUGACCAAUGGCCUUCUUCACUGACAAGUUUCUUCGAAUUAAUUCAAUUUGGUUGGGCGAGCUGGCGUUGAUGUAUUGUGUUUGCCCAGCAAUAUAUCACAACAGACAGAAUUUUUAUUAUUAUUAUUAUAAUUACAAGAUAGUAAAUAUACAGAUUUUUGUCUUCCGAAAA